UGUCUAUUAGUCAUAGUCUCGUACCCAUCAUUGUUGUUGGGAAGUUAAAGUUAGUGCAUUAGUUUCUGCCGCCCAGAGGGA